UGGGGAAUAUUAGUCAAUGGGGGAAACCCUGAACUAGCAACGCCGCGUGAAGGAAGUAGGUCUUCGGAUUGUAAACUUUUGUCUUCAGGGAAGAAAUAAAUGACGGUACCUGAGGAGGAAGCCACGGCUAACUACGUGCCAGCAGCCGCGGUAAUACGUAGGUGGCAAGCGUUGUCCGGAAUUACUGGGUGUAAAGGGUGCGUAGGCGGGUAUGUAAGUCAGGUGUGAAAUUCCGAGGCUCAACUUCGGAACUGCAUUUGAAACUACAUAUCUUGAGUGAAGGAGAGGUAAGUGGAAUUCCCAGUGUAGCGGUGAAAUGCGUAGAUAUUGGGAAGAACACCGGUGGCGAAGGCGGCCAUCUGGACGGACACUGACGCUGAGGCGCGAAAGCGUGGGGAGCAAACA
rnacentral:rRNA from 1 species